rnacentral:rRNA from 1 species
AUGGUAUAAUAAAAUCGGAGGCCACGACUGUUUACUAAAAACACAAUUCAGAGCAAUGAUUAAGAUAAUAGUAUUCUGAAUGAAAUUUGCUCAAUGCCAUUAAUAUAAGAGAGGUAAUUUUAAAGUUACUAAUUGAAAGUCUGGUUAAUAGCGGUCUUAACUAUGAGGAUCCUAAGGUAGCAAAAUAAAUUGGCCAUUAAAUGUGGUCUAGUAUCAAUAAUGUAACGAUGGUCUCACUGUCUCUACA